UACGUAGGGUGCGAGCGUUAAUCGGAAUUACUGGGCGUAAAGCGCGCGCAGGCGGUUUUUCAAGUCAGUGGUGAAAGCCCGGAGCUCAACUCCGGAACUGCCAUUGAAACUGUGAAACUUGAGGAUGAGAGAGGUGAGUGGAAUUCCCAGUGUAGAGGUGAAAUUCGUAGAUAUUAGGGAAGAACACCGGUGGCGAAGGCGACUUACUGGACACAUAUUGACGCUGAGGUGCGAAAGCGUGGGAGCAACAGGAU
rnacentral:rRNA from 1 species